ensembl:misc_RNA
AGGCAUCUGCCCCACUCACGGGUUCCCGGAAAGUCCGUGCCGAGUCCACAGGCCUUUAGGCCUCAGGACUAGCUUCCAUGGUGCCGUCUGCCAUUGCUCCCUGUUUUUGCCGGAAAUAGGAUCUUCUUUGUCUCUGGUCGAUCUGC